rnacentral:rRNA from 1 species
AAUUCGAAGCAACGCGAAGAACCUUACCAGGUCUUGACAUCCCCUGACAACCCGAGAGAUCGGGCGUUCCCCUUCGGGGGACAGGGUGACAGGUGGUGCAUGGUUGUCGUCAGCUCGUGUCGUGAGAUGUUGGGUUAAGUCCCGCAACGAGCGCAACCCUCGACCUUAGUUGCCAGCAUUCAGUUGGGCACUCUAAGGUGACUGCCGGCUAAAAGUCGGAGGAAGUGGGGAUGACGUCAAAUCAUCAUGCCCCUUAUGACCUGGGCUACACACGUGCUACAAUGGGCGGUACAAAGGGUCGCGAACCCGCGAGGGGGAGCCAAUCCCAAAAAGCCGCUCUCAGUUCGGAUUGCAGGCUGCAACUCGCCUGCAUGAAGCCGGAAUCGCUAGUAAUCGCGGAUCAGCAUGCCGCGGUGAAUACGUUCCCGGGCCUU